CCUACGGGUGGCUGCAGUAGGGAAUCUUCCACAAUGGGCGAAAGCCUGAUGGAGCAACGCCGCGUGGGUGAAGAAGGGUUUCGGAUCGUAAAACCCUGUUGGUAGAGAAGAAAGAGAGUGAGAGUAACUGUUCACGAUUCGACGGUAACUAAUUAGAAAGUCACGGCUAACUACGUGCCAGCAGCCGCGGUAAUACGUAGGUGGCAAGCGUUAUCCGGAUUUAUUGGGCGUAAAGCGAGUGCAGGCGGUCCAUUAAGUCUGAUGUGAAAGCCUUCGGCUUAACCGGAGUAGUGCAUUGGAAACUGGUGAACUUGAGUGCAGAAGAGGAGAGUGGAACUCCAUGUGUAGCGGUGGAAUGCGUAGAUAUAUGGAAGAACACCAGUGGCGAAGGCGGCUCUCUGGUCUGUAACUGACGCUGAGGUUCGAAAGCAUGGGUAGCGAACAGGAUUAGAUACCCCUGUAGUC
rnacentral:rRNA from 1 species